ensembl:lncRNA
AGUGAAUGGGCUUUGACAGCUAUGAGAGAUGACUUCGAUGCAGAUCACACUACAUCUGUUCCCAAUGCUCCUUACCCAAGGCCUACCUGAGAAGCCCACCUUUCUUCUUUCCUUUCCUCGAGGUGCUGCUUCUCAGCUCCCUUACUGUUAGAAGACUAUUAACACCCCAAAGCCCGGCCUACACCCUGACCUUGUCUUUCGGGAUCAUCUGCUAAGAGUUCUGCGGCUCGCUCGUCUCCCAGAGAUCUCCCUCCCGCUCCCCCGGCCCUGGGUCGCAGGGACAGCCUCUGAGGAGGAAGAGGACGAGGAGGAAUCGGAGGAGGAGAAGAGCCGGGGCUGCCCCCAAGCUCCUCUGCCAGCCGCCCAGCAGGCCAACGGCUUUUCCCCUCGGGCUCCUGGAAGAGGCCCGCUCGAGGGUUCGAGCCUUCGCGUGUCCACGCUCCCUGCCCCCUCCCGCUUCCUCCCUCAGCGGUGCAGUCCAUCGGUGGGGCUUCUUCAGGCGGGCCUCAGACCGUGGUUGACUUCGGGGCUUGAGAAUUUUGUUUUAUUUCUUCAACACAACCUUGAAUAGGUUGGGCCAGAAGGAUCAUAGGAGCGUACUUAGAAUCUGGUUUUGAAUUUGGGGUUGGAAGGAUCCAUCUUACCCAGGCGCUUAGUUAGGAACAGUGGGUGGGGAAGCUGCGGCUUCGACGUACACGUAGCCUGAGGCCGCAGGUUCCCCGCCCCCUAGGAUGAAGAAAUGUCUUUGGGGCGGCCGGGAGAGAGCUCAAGUGUCUUGCCCAAGGUUCCCACAGGCGGUCCUCCUUUCAGGAGUGUUUUGAACCCAGGUCCUCUGACCUCAAAGCCAGUGUGCUUUCCACUGUAUUAGACUUUAACAUCAUGGGAUCUUGGCCUGGAAGGGACCUUAUUAAUUGUCUAAUAGUAACAACUUGCACUUACAUAGCACUUAAAAAAAUUUAGUUUAAAAAGAACAAAACCUUGUAACACAGUGAAGCAAAACAAAUUCCUAUAUUGGCCAUGUCCAAAAAAUAGGUCUUAUUUUGUAACCUAAGUCUACCACCUCUCUGUCAGGAGGUGGGUAGCAUAUUUCACUAAUGGUCAUUUGGAAUUAUUGCUUGGUCCAAUGAAAAACCAUGCCUUUCAAAAUCCUGUCUUUUCAGUGUUGUUAUAGCAUCACUUCAUUCACUUCACUCUACAUCAGUUCAAUUCAGUCUUCCUAGGUGUUUCUGAAACUGUCCCUUUCAGUCAUUUCCUACAGCAAAAUUACAUUCACAUGCCACAAUUGUUCAGUAUUCUCUAACAAGUUUCUAGUUGUUACUCAAUACAAAAAGCUGCUACAAAAUUUUUGGAUUUUCCUUUCUCUUUCUCUUUUUUAAAAAAUCUCUUUGGGGUAUAGGCUUAGUAGUGGUAUCACUGAGUCCAAAAGGGGAGGGGUAUUAGGAAUCAGGAAAUCAGGACUGAGGUGAGCUUCGAAGGGAGCCAAGCAUUCUAAGAGGUCUGGAUGGGGAGGGAGUGUACUUCAGGCUGUACAAAGGCACAGAUACUGGAUUUGUGGACACCAGUUACCAAAG